GUUGAAGUCUAUCCCAAUAGGGCUUUUUCUGUAGACCUAAAUCAUUGGAAACACCUCAUAUUAUGUGGUUUCCUUUACUCACAGAACUGUGUGUUAGAUCUGUGGGAAAGAACUAUAAGACAGGU